rnacentral:lncRNA from 1 species
AGUACAUGUUGGAGGUGUGAAAAGAAACUCUCAAUUUUAUUUUUUUUUGAGGGAAAAAUUAUUUUAUGUUGGAGGUGCGAAAAGUGUGAACUGACUUUUUGUGUUUAUAAAUUAGGACGGAGAGGUACAUGUUUCCAAUAAAAUCGUACAAAUAUUUAUAUCAUACAAAUUUAACCUUUAUAAAAUAGUGUGCAAGUGAUGGUGGUGUUUCAACAAACUUAUAUUAUGCAUGUUUAAAUUGUACACAAAGCACAAAAAAAUUGCACAUUAUAUUUUUCCAUCUAGCUAGACAACAUUUCAACUAUUGAUAAUUUUUACAUAAAACAGGGCAGAGACAAAUAUAAAGCCAUGGAAAAAUAUCCUAAAAGAAAUAAAAGAAGGGAACAAAGAGACCAAGUGGAAGGAUAGAGUACCUUAUGCUUAUUGGAAGGGGAACCCUAAUGUUGCUGCAACUAGGAAAAACCUUUUGAGAUGCAAUGCUACAUCAAAAGAUGAUUGGAACACUCGCCUAUACAUACAGGUAUUUUUUUUAAUCAAUAUAAUUUUGCACUAACUUUUCCUUGCAAUACACAUCAAAGGAAGAUUAAUUCAUUGUGUAUAUAUAUGUUUGUGUCACAGGACUGGGAUAAAGAAUCCACUCAAGGUUACAAGAAAUCAAGCUUAGGGAACCAAUGCACACAUAGGUAAUAUCAAUAUCCCUUUAGCAAGAGAAUUAUCAAAAUAAUAUGUGUUUCACCAAAGUUGAAUUUCGAGUUUGUCGGAAUUCCGAUAAACUCAAUUCAAGUUUGUUAGAAUAUAAAAUGUGUUCAGGCAAAGUAGAAUUUCAAUUUCGUCGGAACAAACUUAACUAAAUUUUAUUAAGUAUUGAACAAACUUUUUUUAUAAGAGAGAUUUUUUCACAUACAUAUGUUUAAAUUUUUUAUUUUUUUUCAUUAAUGUAGAGACUUAAUUUUAUGUGCAUUGUUGGCUUGCUACAGGUAUAAGAUUUAUAUAGAAGGAUGGGCUUGGUCAGUUAGUGAGAAAUACAUUAUGGCAUGUGAUUCCAUGACAUUAUAUGUUAGACCCAAUUUCUAUGACUUUUUCAUUAGAGGCAUGGAUCCAUUACAACACUAUUGGCCAAUUAGAGAUAAUAGUAAAUGCACUUCUCUUAAAUUUGCUGUGGAUUGGGGAAACAAACAUGCCGAUAAGGUCUCUCUCUCACUCCAACAACAAACAUGACUUUAUUUGAUUGUGGACUUGCUAGUUAUGAAACACGAAUACAGACACGAACACCAAACACGACACGAACACUGAUACACUGACACUGUUAAUAAUUUAAGAAAAUCACAUAAUUCAGUGUAAUUAUAUGUGUUGGUGUUGUGUUGGUGUUGGAUACGACACAUGUCCGACACAGGUACACGUCUAAUCCGAGGAGUGUCCGUGCUUCAUAGUUUGCUAGAUAUAACAUUAUAUAAUUGUCAUAAGAAAUUUAAAUUACAUUAAAUAUCUUACAUUCCCUAAAAUUACAUAUCAGGCACAAGCAAUAGGGGAGGCUGCCAGCAAAUUCAUACAAGAGGAGUUAGAUAUGAACAAUGUAUACAAUUACAUGUUUCAUAUACUAAAUGAAUAUGCAAAGCUUUUGAAAUUCAAACCAACUAUACCUCAAGGAGCUGUGGAGUUUUGUUCAGAAACAAUGGCAUGUGAUGUGAAUGGUAAUCAAAGGAAAUUCAUGGAAGAGUCAAUGGUGAAGGUUCCUAGUGAUUCAAAUCCAUGCACUAUUCCACCUCCAUAUGAUCCUUUAACUUUACAAGAACUUUUAGAGAGAAAAGCUAAUUCAACAAGACAGGUAGAAAUUUGGGAAGAUGAAUAUUGGCUGAAGAAAAACAAUGGACAAUAGUAUGGCUUAGUUGAUAUUUGUUUUUCAAUAGUUAAAAUUUUAUUAAUAAAGGUCCGAACCCAACAUCAAAGUGAAACUCUACCCACCUUCUAUGAAUGGUUGCAGAGAGCCCACACAAUCAUAUGCUGUAAAUGUUUUUUCGUUUUUCAUUUUUGUAUUUAUUUUAUAGUUCGUAUGCUUUACAAAUUUACAUGUUUUCGGUAGGUCUUCGAAGAAUAACGGUAAAAUCAUACAUUUUGUAAUUUAUAGGUAUCGAAAAUUUGAGAGUUAAAACAAAAUUUGAGAUAAUUAUAGCGAUAUAUAUAUAUAUAUAUAUAUAUAUAUAUAUAUAUAUGUGUGUGUGUGUGUGUGUGUGUGUGACAAUAGACUCGUAUCCACUCCUUUUUAUGAAGAAGCAUUUUAACAACCUAACACAUUUUCAUUUGGAUCAAAAGAUUGAAUUUUAUUUUUUUACAAAAUCAAAGCUCAUGGAUAAAAUUGUAAUGUACCUUUAUGAUUAAUGUUCUUUUCUAUUUUCUAUUUUUUUUGAGAGACUAUUUUUUGUGGUCAUUAUUGCUAUUGUUCUUCGCUCUCACACAACGGUUCUCUAUCUUUCUUCAACCUCUUCUUCCAUUUUCUUCAAAUGAAGUGUAGCAUUGGUUUUAAAAUUCCCAUUGCAUAUAUGAAAAAGAGAGAAAGGCUAGCUUGGACAACGUGGAGGGGAUACUGGACGGCGACGACGAUUGCAAAGCUUCCACCGGCAACUCCAAUGGGGAUGGAUUUCUUUUGUUGCUUACGAUUGCCCAAGGAAUAAGGUUAAGCUUCCUCCAAGAUGAGGUAUGUCAAUAAUUGUAACCUAUUCAUCAAUGUUGCUUAAUUUGAAGAAAAUGAAAUUGAUAGAGACAAAGCAAAACAAUGACAUUGGAAGAUUUUAUAACCAUUGUUGCACUUGAUUUGAAAAAAUGGAAGAAGUGGUGCAUGAGAGAGAAUUGGUGAGAGAGAGAGGAAGAACAAUAGCAAUAAUGACCCCACAAGCAUAGUUACUAAAAAAAGUAAACAAAAACAUUAAUUAUUAAACGUAAAUUACAAUUUUAUCUUUGAGUUUUGAUUUUGUUUCCCCUUCAAAAACCAAAAUUUGUGUUUUUAGUUCAAAUGAGAAUGUGUUGGUUGAAACGACGUGGUGAUCAAGGUUUAUAAUAGGAACUUCUCAACUAAUGAAAGGUUAGGUGAAGACUAAGACAAUCAAGUUAAAGAAAACUUAUUCUUUCUCAAGUCUAUUGACUAAGUACGUUGAUCUUGAGGAUUUCAGACUAAGUCAAAGCUUAGUAAAACUAAACAGUGACACUUAAAACUCAUGUUUAGCUUCGCUAACCGCAAAGAGCAAUGAGAAAGAAAGCACGCUCGUAGAAGAGCUGCACACCAAGGAUCACUAUAUGCCAUGCCAUUUGACUAGUAGGAAUAAUUUUUGCCUAUAAGUAUUUUUUUUUCUUCUGUACAUUGUUAAAAGACACAUCAAUCAAAACGAAAAUAUAUUUUUGCUAUUUAUUCAUUAUUAUUUUUCUUUUAUAUUAUUUUUUAUAGACAUUCCAUAUUGUAGUAGGAAAAAUCCAAUCAGUUGUACUUAACGCUCUGCUAGAGUGGUUAAGAAACGUACAACAGAGGAACAAAGUUCCUUCCUCAGUUCUAAUCACUUGAAAAAAAAAAGUCUGAUCUUCCGACUUAAAUAACCAAUUCCAUUUCUAUCCUUUUUUCUAUGAUCAAUUCAAUAAAGAAUUCCUUCUCAACUGACAACCCCUGGGCUUGUUCAUAAGCGAUAUUCUUUGUAUGGCUUUCGGCUCGGCUGCCUUCCUUUAAUUUUAGGUUGCCUCAUAUAGACAUAGAUGGAGGUAUCUUGCUUUUCUUUUUCUAGGAGGCUCCCUGCACAUGUUAUUCGCAAAGAAAAGGCAAUGAGCGGUUAUUCACUUAGUAGAGCUAUCGAUCGCAUGUUACUUUCUGAGGGGCUCUGUUGGAGAAAAAGAAGGCCCCCCUUACUCUUCUUUCUUAAAGCUUUACUUUAUAAAGCUCGGCGAGAAAGAGUUGGUUAAGAACUAUUGACUAUAAACCAUAGCAGUUACAGUCACUCAAUUGAAAUGUUUACCUUUGGAAUGAAGAUUGAUGAGCAGAGGUUUGAAGACGCUCGGCCUACAAUGCUAGCCCCAUAUUAAUGUUUCCUUCCUUCCAUAUCAACUUGCUUUCCUGGGUAACUAUUCGACAUAAGAAACCCCACGAUUUUCUUCUUAUCUUAAAGUAGCUUUCCUUUCGGGUUUAACCAAAAUUCUUCCCUAGGGCUGGUUUGUUUAUGCCACUAAGCGUGAUAACUUAACCGCAAUCAUAGUUGACGCAUAUACCUAAUGAUUGGGUGGAGAUUUGGUCUCUCUCUCUCUCUCUCUCUCUCUCUCUCUCUCUUAUGGUCCUAGACAAUUGAUGCCAAUGUUGCUCCCAUGUCUCGCAGACUCCCCGAUAAGUGGUAUAAAAGCUCUUAUUCGACUUGGUGGGGGAGCGAGAGUGGAUUAUGUGUUAGGUCUUAUUAUAGGAGGUGAGAAAUCACACUUGUUGGGGGGAGAUUGUUGGGUUACAUGUGUGAGUGAUUAAGUCCCACAUUGUAUAUGAAUGUGUAAAAUAUUGGAUAUAUAAGAGAGACAUACACCUAAUGUGUUAAGGUUUUUGAUGAAGAUAUGAAGUCUCAUUCUCUUGUGGUCCUAGAGCAUUUAACUAGUUGUUUGUCUCACGCACCCCCUAGUUGUCGACCCAACAAUAGAUAUCAAGCCAUGGUUCGGCUUGGCAGGGGAGGAGAAGUGGAUCUAAUGUUGGAUCCUGAUAUCAGAGGUGGGAAUUCACACUUGUGGGGGAGAUUGUUGUUUCAAAUGCAAGUGAGUAAAAUGUUGUGUAUAUAUAAGAGAGGUGACCCAUAUACCUUGUGCCUUAAGGUUUUGGGUGGAGACUCUCUCUCUCUCUCUCUCACACACACUCUCUCUCUUUGUCCUCGAUCAUUGUCCUCAUUGUUUCUCCUGUGACCCAUGUUGCUCCCCAACACACAAUUGAUCGAAGUGUGUAAACAAAUGAUAUGGAGUUUCAUUGUUUGCGAUUUGCAUUUCUUUAAUCUUUUGUUGAUAGUUGUUGUUCUAACAUUGCAAACACAAUAGUUUAGAUUUAUUAAAAAAAAAAAAAAAAAUCAAGAUCUAACAUUGAAAUCUUGAUCAUGUGCGUGGUCACACGACCUAAUCCAAAUCCUUGUAAUCCCUGAGUUCACUAUUGUAACAAUUUUACGUUGAAACCAAUCUCGACCAUUGAUUUUAAAUGAAACGGUUUAUAUUCCGAAUACAAUUUUAUGAAGAAAAACGGUCCCAUUCGCCAAUUUAAAAUUAUACAACCGAAAUCUAUCACUUGAUGGGAAACAGAUUUCCUGCUGUAACAGGAAGGUGCUGUAAAGCAUCUGAGCUGUCCGAUCAGAAUUGUAUGGUCAUGAUCAUUUUCAAUUUUAACCGUUCGAUCUAAAAUAAACGGCUGAGAUUGAAAACUGCGUGCAUUUGCCACAACAUCAAAUACGGGUCCCACUUGAUGCUGCUGCUUUAUUAGUAUAUCCAAUUUUAUUCUCUCUACAAAUCUGCCGCUGUAUUAAUGUCCAUUCCUCAGCCCUUGAUUAAUACAACGACAGAGAUUUUUGCUCGAGAAGCAUGAGGGGCUGCUAUAAGUAUUCAAUAAAACUCAAUUUUUGUUUAUCCAAAAAUUCCUACUUUAUGAUUAUAUAUAUACAAAAUUAACAAGUGGUCCAGCUGUAGAUCACAUCAACAAUAAAACUGAAUAUAUUAAUAUUUCAAAUAUUAAAUAAUUAAUUUUACAACCUUCCUAGAUUUAAGCAAAUAUAUUUAAACAAAUAACUCAACUACAUGUCAAAUUGACCAAAACGUGGACCAUAUUCAUUGUUCCUCUGCUCCAUCCCCUAGAACACUGUCUAAGUUUGAGUUUUUCAUGUCUGCAACAAGUUCCUUAUAGGAGGAUUCAACUUGAAUCAUGAAAAAGACAUAUCUGAAACACUUCUAUGGCGGUUCUAAUCAACAGAAGCUGUGUAUGUUCUCCAAGAAAGCUAAAGUUACUUGCUUAGUGGCCACUUUUUGUGCUUUUGCUGUCUGGACUGUAAGUGAGUUCUGCAUAAUAUUUUUUUUAUUAAGCUUUCUUUUUAAAUAUCAAUAUCAACUUUUCAUUCAUUAUUUGAUGUUUUAAGCUGUAACACUAUUAUUAUAUAACAAUCGAAAAUUUUAAUUAUGUUUUUUUUCUUCUUAGUAGAGACUCAAUUUAAUUAUGUUAAGCAUGACCAAGGACACUCAAAAAUAGAAACUACCCUUUUUAGCUAAUUAAUUUAUUCAAUGGUAUAUCACUCUUUUUUCAUUAUUUGUUCAUUUUAACAUUAUAAUUGCUACCCCUUUAUUAUUAUGUGAACAUUUUUGACACCAAGUUAGAACUAUUGGCAUUUCUUAGCAUAAAUAAAUGUUGUGACAUAUAAUUGAUCUAUGAAGGAGCUAGUCUAAUAUUGGAUUUUUAUGUUAUUUUUUGUUUAUAGAAAAAUGUUGGUAUUUUCUUUUUGACCAACAAAAUCUAAUAUUGAAAUUAUUUUUAAAGUACAUAUUUGCAGGUGUUUCAUUUCCAUUCAUCCACAAAGACAGACUCCAAAACCAAGAAGAUUUUCUUCUUAAAUGCAUACAAGGAAAAUCUUUCAAACAAAAAUGUCCAAGAGACAACCCUACAACACAUAACCCAACAAAUCUCAACAACCAUGUUUGUCCCUCAUACUUUAGAUGGAUCCAUGAAGAUCUUAAACCAUGGAGAGAAAAAGGGAUCACAAGGAACAUGUUGAAAAAGGCAAAAAAGACAGCACAUUUCAAGCUUGUGAUUGUGGAUGGAAAAAUGUAUGUGGAAAAGUAUAGGAAGUCAAUUCAAACAAGAGAUGUGUUCACUUUGUGGGGUAUUUUGCAAUUAUUGAGAUUGUACCCUGGCAAGUUGCCUGAUUUGGAACUUAUGUUUGAUUGUGAAGAUAAGCCUGUUGUUCCUUUGGAUAAGUUUCAAGGACCAAAUGCUUCACCACCACCAUUGUUUAGAUAUUGUUCAGAUCAAUGGAGCUUGGAUAUUGUGUUCCCAGAUUGGUCCUUUUGGGGAUGGUAUGUCCUAAACAUAACUUCUUUUCUUCCUUUCUAUUUAUAGAAACAUGUUUAAAUCACGAGAAUUAAGAAAAUUGAUAGUAGUUUAAUAUUUUUUAUAUAAUUGGUACUUCCUCCGGUUCUAUUUAUAAGAGAUAUUUAGAUCAAUAAAAAUGGAUUUAUCUAAUCCAAUUUUUUAACCAGAUACAUUAACCUUAGUUGACUAAAAUAAUAUCGAAUGAAGUAUCAUAUUGCAAAUAUAUAUAAUUCAGGAGAUAGAAAUUGAAAAGUCUUAUAAGGAGAAAGGUAAUUGUAGUCUCUUUUUAGAAAAAUCCACACAUUUGACAAAUGCAGGCCCCAUUAGUCAUGCAAUAAUUUGAGCUUUGAAUUGUCAUUGUCAUGUUGUAAGAGUUUAAUUCUAGUUAGUUCUCUCUUAAAAAAAAUUCUAGGUGGAUCAAUAGCUACCACUACAUUUUUAUCAAAGUUAGCCUAGGACCAAAGCUGCUCAUGUUAGAGAUUUAGGCCUCUAAAUUCUAGGUGAAAAAAAGUAUAAAAAAAUAUAAUUUCACUAGAUCAAAAUCUGGCCAAAAUGUUUACUAGAUCAAUAGGUUAAAGUGAGGGACUCAUAAGGUCAAACUUUGCAAUCAAUAUAAACUUGAUAUUCCUCAUAAAAAGAAACAAAAAUUGAUUUUAUUUAUUUAUUUUUUAUAAGCUCUGUUAAUUUAUUUAAUAAAACUUGAUUUUUAUCUUCAUUUUUAAUUUUUUAACCAUUUAAGUAAGGGUGUUACUUGGACACAUUUUUAUUUGCAUUUUACCCAUUUAAAAACUCUAGGCCAACCCAACAUGUUUAAAGACAUAAAACAAAUUAAUUUUAUAGCAAGACCUCUUUUAAAAAAAAUAACAACUUAUAAAAAUAAAAGAUAAAGUUUUACUGAGUUCAUUGGGGGUCAAGAUGGAUAUUAAACCCUCAUCUUGACUAACUAGGCAAGAUGAACAUCUAUAACUAAUAAGUCAUAUUAUAUAUUUAUAAUUAAAUUGAACUUUUUAGGCAUUUUUUUAUCCAUAAUUUUGAGGUUUAAAAUACUAAAGUUUGAGAUAUUUUCCCCUUGCCAUGCUAUUAUUCAACACUUCUACUUUUAAUAUUUUUUACUUAAAACAGGGCAGAGACAAAUAUAAAGCCAUGGAACAAUAUCCUUAAAGACAUAAAAGAAGGGAACAAAAAGACCAAGUGGAAGGAUAGAGUACCUUAUGCUUAUUGGAAGGGGAACCCUUAUGUUGCUCCAACUAGGCAAAACCUUCUACAAUGCAAUGUUACAUUAGAAAAUGAUUGGAACACUCUCAUAUACAUACAGGUUUUUUUUUUUUCAUUAAUCAUGGAUGCAUUUGGCCUAAAAUUAACAUCAAAGAAAUAUAAUGUAUUGUGUAUAUUUGAUCACAGG